AGUGGCGGACGGGUGAGUAACGCGUGAGAAUCUGCCCUUUGGAUGGGGAUAACGACUGGAAACGGUCGCUAAUACCCAAUAUGCCGAGAGGUGAAACUUAUAUGGCCAGAGGAUGAGCUCGCGUCUGAUUAGCUAGUUGGAGUGGUAACGGCACACCAAGGCGACGAUCAGUAGCUGGUCUGAGAGGAUGAUCAGCCACACUGGGACUGAGACACGGCCCAGACUCCUACGGGAGGCAGCAGUGGGGAAUUUUCCGCAAUGGGCGAAAGCCUGACGGAGCAAGACCGCGUGAGGGAGGAAGGCCUACUGGUUGUAAACCUCUUUUGAUAGGGAAGAAGAAAGUGACGGUACCUAUCGAAUCAGCAUCGGCUAACUCCGUGCCAGCAGCCGCGGUAAUACGGAGGAUGCAAGCGUUAUCCGGAAUUACUGGGCGUAAAGCGUCCGUAGGUGGUUAUUCAAGUCAGCUGUCAAAGGAUGGAGCUUAACUCCAUAAAGGCAGUUGAAACUGUGUAGCUAGAGUGCGAUAGGGGCAAGGGGAAUUCCCAGUGUAGCGGUGAAAUGCGUAGAUAUUGGGAAGAACAUCGGUGGCGAAAGCGCCUUGCUGGGUCUGCACUGACACUGAGGGACGAAAGCUAGGGGAGCGAAAGGGAUUAGAUACCCCUGUAGUCUUAGCUGUAAACGAUGGAUACUAGGCGUUG
rnacentral:rRNA from 1 species